rnacentral:rRNA from 1 species
AUGGCCGCGUCCCUCCGCUCGCCGCCGCCCGUGCCCGCCGCCUCCGCCUUCCGCCGCUGCCGCGCCGCCGCCGUCGUCUGCGCCUCCUCAUCCUCCUCGUCCUCCUCCUCGGCCGUGUCGUCCGCUCCCAAGGCGCGCUUCGUCGCCCGCCGCUCCGAGUCCACCUCCGUCCAGCAGCUCGCCCGCCCCCUCGCGGAGUACAUGGGCCUGCCGGCGAGCCAGUACUCGGUGCUGGACGCGGAGCGCAUCGAGCGCGUCGACGAGUCCACCUUCCGCUGCUACGUCUACCGCUUCCGCUUCUUCGCGCUCGAGGUCUGCCCCGUCCUCCUCGUCCGCGUCGACGAGGAGCCCAACGGCUGCUGCAUCCGCCUCCUCUCCUGCAAGCUGGAGGGGUCGCCCCUUGUGGAGGCGCAGAAUGACAAAUUCUCGGCUUCCAUGGUAAAUAGGGUUUUCUGCAACAGCAGUUCAGAGGGUUCGACGCUUCAACAGCUUACAUCGGAUGCUACAAUCGAGUAUCUGUAUGAUAAUUUUCAGGUUGCAAUUGACAUUCCCUUUCCAUUUCAAGCACUACCAGUUGAAGCUAUCGAAUCAAGUGGCAGGCAAGUGCUUGAGCAGUUACUCCGAGUCAUGCUUCCACGAUUUCUGAAGCAGCUUGAUAAAGACUACCGAGCUUGGGCCUCGGGCGAUUCUUCACGGAAACCGCUUGGCACUGGGGAAAUAUGA